rnacentral:lncRNA from 1 species
GCUCAUUAAAACAGCAGGUUGCUCCACACUGCCUCGUGUUGUCUGUUGGCACACUCUCAAGAGUUUGAACGGAUACAAGAAUCUUUCAUCUGGUGCCGAAACCCGGGAGGGGCUCCGGUCUUCGUCCCCCGUGGACCUACCCCUCCGCCCCAGAAAGCAGGCCACAGCAGCCGGACAAAGGAAGCUCCUCAGCCUCCAGUUGCUUCUCUGUGCAUGCACAUCAGUCACUGAUCUCACCUACUGGCCCAGUCCCAAGGCGCAAGGCCACUUGUGCCAGCAGUGUGAGUCAGCAAGAUAGCAGAAGCAGGAAGAGAGCCGGCCAGAAGACACCUACUCUGACUGGGAGACACGUACCCCUGAAGAUUGAGAAAGAGGCCAUCCAGGUACCACAUAGCAGUUACAUCAGACUGGGACAUUUCCUGUUUACAGGAGACUAUAAAACCCCUGCCCCCUACUCAUUUGGUGCUGACGCCAUUUUAGGCCUCAGCCUGCCUGCACCCAGGUACUCAUUAAAACAGCGUGUUGCUCCACA